rnacentral:rRNA from 1 species
UACUAUGGCCAUGCCACCCUGACCAUGCCCGAUUCCGUCUGAUCUUGGAAGCUAAGCAGGGUCGGGCCUGGUUAGUACUUGGAUGGGAGACCACCUAGGAAGACCGGGUGGUGCUGUAGGCG